rnacentral:lncRNA from 1 species
GAAGUGGCACACUUCCAGUGAGGUGCCGACCAAAAUCCACCGGUGGACCGAUAUGCUCGCUAUCUUGGGUUUUGCGUUUCAUUUCAGCGCCCAUGUCUUCACGUUAGAGCAGCCAUAUGGUCUGCGUGAGACGCGCGGUUCUCAGCAAAAUAGCUGUUUAUAGUCUCCCAUUAGACUAAUUCAAGUUAAAUGUGAAAUCAGCUGUAAAUGGAUGGUGGGCGAAAUGUUAACUGUGCUGGAUUUGGAUCACGUGUAUGGACUCACCUUUGACCACUCUCCACGCCAGGAGCAACGAGCUAGGUAUCUUUUCGACGACGACAAACACUUACAUUGGAAUUUUGUGAUUCAUAGGACAUUCACAUAUAAAUAAAACUAAUAAUGUAAUGGAUUCUGUGUCUUGUUUAAUAUCUUGUGUUUCAGAAUUAAGAGCCAGCCGGUUUUAACCAAGAGGGAAGUAGUCAGGCGCAGGCUAAUCCAAUAUCACGGAGGCAUUCACGUUGGCCGUCAGUUGCACCUGGACAAGAUACAUUUCAAGUGGCCCCCUCUCCACCGAAGCUUUGUGGUUGUUCGCAUCGGUGUCUCCUUCGUCCUGGUGUUGGUGCCUUGCGGAGCGGGGACUGGCUCUAAAGUUCUCCUGGUGGUGGCCUCUCCUUGCCGGCAGACAGGCGUCUCCGGGUCCUGGGGCGGCUCCAGUGCAGCAGCCAUCCCACCGUCUUCUCACUGCGCCGACCACUGGGUGCCCACUCCAUCCACUGCUGCUGACUGUCACUCCUGGGCUAGGGGUGUGGAGAAGUGUCAUAGCAGGUGCCUUGGAGUGAUGCUUUUUAGAUGCUCCCCCAGCUCCAGCUAUUUUGGCCGCCCUCCCCAUACCUGAGCGUGGUCAUCUUUACAGCAACCGACACCAUGUAGCGAUCUCACAGAGUCAGCUUCCUCUUUUGGUGUUCUUUGUCAUUUAUUUAGCAUAGGCAAUUCAACACUGAUACUGACACCAGGAUGGCAUAGCAUUUAUAGGUGGGCACAACAACAGAGGGCAAGGGUGGCAGAGAUCACACAUGAGGGAAAAUGGCAUCAGGUUAUCAUAACAUUCACUGACUCUAAUCAUUAACAAAAUGACAGAUAAACUAAAACUAAAGAGAGUAAGCCACAUUUGAAAUGAAAACACUACACAUGAAUUAAACAAUUAAAUGCACUCAUCCACUCACUUGCACAGCAUUCUGCCACACACACUUCAAUCCGCACUUACCCGGAACAACAGACAAACACGGGCUCGCUACAUGUUAUGCUAUGUGUUUGUAUUCGCAUGAGGGGGGGAGAGUGAAAUCGGGUCUUGCAUGAAGGGUUACUUAUUUUGUUUUUAUACAGCAAUAAUGAUUUGUUUAAUUAUGUUUGCUUCACUGCUAUGUUGUGCACACAAAGUACACUUGAUUUGAAUGCUGUUGUUGCUUCUGAGACUUCUGUUUUUGGACUCAGUAACUGUUCAUACAUUUAACUUUAUUGUAAGCUGUGUAUAUAGUCUUAUAUAGUCUUAUAUGUUUAUAUUCUCUUCUCUUAAAUCAUCUGUAUCAAAGAUGCGUUUAAGUCUCUGAAACUGACCGGGGUAUGUUAUCUGUCUGUCCUAAGAAUGGUGUUACUCUCCGUUGGUUUUGGAAGUUUGUAAAUCACCACUGUGAUCUUUAAAGAUCUUUAGAUCAAGAAAAUGGAUUUCAGUUAGAGAAACGGUAGAGCUUCUGUCAGCAUUCAAGCUGGAAUACACAAAUGUUUCUUCCCAAAAUCUCAUAAACGAAUAAGAAUAAUAAGGUCCAAAGCACAGAUCCAUUGCUAAGCACACACUCAAAACACACACCCAUUGCUUUUUUUAGUUUAUUGUAUUUUUGUUAUAUGAUGUUUUGUUAUAUGUUGUAUAUGUAUGUCCCUCAUGGCACCAACAGGAGUUAUACAAUGACAAUAAAGGCUUUUUAUUCUAUUCUAGUCUAAACUCU